CGUGAGCGGCGGACGGGUGAGUAACGCGUGGGUAACCGUGCCUCAUACAGGGGGAUAACAGUUGGAAACGGCUGCUAAUACCGCAUAAGCGCACAGUACCGCAUGGUACGGUGUGAAAAACUCCGGUGGUAUGAGAUGGACCCGCGUCUGAUUAGGUAGUUGGUGGGGUAACGGCCUACCAAGCCGACGAUCAGUAGCCGACCUGAGAGGGUGACCGGCCACAUUGGGACUGAGACACGGCCCAA
rnacentral:rRNA from 1 species